ACGCUAGCUACAGGCUUAACACAUGCAAGUCGAGGGGCAGCAUGGUCUUAGCUUGCUAAGACUGAUGGCGACCGGCGCACGGGUGAGUAACACGUAUCCAACCUGCCGUCUACUCUUGGACAGCCUUCUGAAAGGAAGAUUAAUACAAGAUGGCAUCAUGAGUCCGCAUGUUCACAUGAUUAAAGGUAUUCCGGUAGACGAUGGGGAUGCGUUCCAUUAGAUAGUAGGCGGGGUAACGGCCCACCUAGUCUUCGAUGGAUAGGGGUUCUGAGAGGAAGGUCCCCCACAUUGGAACUGAGACACGGUCUAAACUCCUACGGGAGGCAGCAGUGAGGAAUAUUGGUCAAUGGGCGAGAGCCUGAACCAGCCAAGUAGCGUGAAGGAUGACUGCCCUAUGGGUUGUAAACUUCUUUUAUAAAGGAAUAAAGUCGGGUAUGCAUACCCGUUUGCAUGUACUUUAUGAAUAAGGAUCGGCUAACUCCGUGCCAGCAGCCGCGGUAAUACGGAGGAUCCGAGCGUUAUCCGGAUUUAUUGGGUUUAAAGGGAGCGUAGAUGGAUGUUUAAGUCAGUUGUGAAAGUUUGCGGCUCAACCGUAAAAUUGCAGUUGAUACUGGAUAUCUUGAGUGCAGUUGAGGCAGGCGGAAUUCGUGGUGUAGCGGUGAAAUGCUUAGAUAUCACGAAGAACUCCGAUUGCGAAGGCAGCCUGCUAAGCUGCAACUGACAUUGAGGCUCGAAAGUGUGGGUAUCAAACAGGAUUAGAUACCCUGGUAGUCCACACGGUAAACGAUGAAUACUCGCUGUUUGCGAUAUACUGCAAGCGGCCAAGCGAAAGCGUUAAGUAUUCCACCUGGGGAGUACGCCGGCAACGGUGAAACUCAAAGGAAUUGACGGGAGCCCGCACAAGCGGAGGAACAUGUGGUUUAAUUCGAUGAUACGCGAGGAACCUUACCCGGGCUUAAAUUGCAGAUGAAUUACGGUGAAAGCCGUAAGCCGCAAGGCAUCUGUGAAGGUGCUGCAUGGUUGUCGUCAGCUCGUGCCGUGAGGUGUCGGCUUAAGUGCCAUAACGAGCGCAACCCUUGUUGUCAGUUACUAACAGGUUCCGCUGAGGACUCUGACAAGACUGCCAUCGUAAGAUGUGAGGAAGGUGGGGAUGACGUCAAAUCAGCACGGCCCUUACGUCCGGGGCUACACACGUGUUACAAUGGGGGGUACAGAGGGCCGCUACCACGCGAGUGGAUGCCAAUCCCCAAAACCUCUCUCAGUUCGGACUGGAGUCUGCAACCCGACUCCACGAAGCUGGAUUCGCUAGUAAUCGCGCAUCAGCCACGGCGCGGUGAAUACGUUCCCGGGCCUUGUACACACCGCCCGUCAAGCCAUGGGAGCCGGGGGUACCUGAAGUGCGUAACCGCGAGGAGCGCCCUAGGGUAAAACUGGA
rnacentral:rRNA from 1 species